AUGAUCAGUAUUAGAGAGAAUAACUUGAACUGAUUCUAUAGUUGUUUUGAAAUUAUGUCAUGUUAUCGCCGAAGGUGCAAGUAAACUACGAAACUCUCAGGCAAAAGGAUAAUACUGUUACG
rnacentral:ncRNA from 2 species